UACGAAGGGGGCUAGCGUUGCUCGGAAUCACUGGGCGUAAAGGGUGCGUAGGCGGGUCUUUAAGUCAGACGUGAAAUCCCUCGGCUUAACCGGGGAACUGCGUCUGAUACUGCAUGGCUGGAGUGUGGCAGAGGGGGGAUGGAAUUCCGCGUGUAGCAGUGAAAAUGCGUAGAUAUGCGGAGGAACACCGAUGGCGAAGGCAAUCCC
rnacentral:rRNA from 1 species